rnacentral:rRNA from 1 species
GACAGAGGGGGCAAGCGUUGCUCGGAAUUACUGGGCGUAAAGGGCGCGUAGGCGGAAUGGCAAGUCGGUCGUGAAAUCCUUCGGCUCAACCGAAGAACGUCGAUCGAAACUGCCGUUCUUGAGGAUUGCAGAGGAGACUGGAAUUCCCGGUGUAGCGGUGAAAUGUGUAGAGAUCGGGAGGAACACCGGUGGCGAAGGCGGGUCUCUGGACCACAACUGACGCUGAGGCGCGAAAGCUAGGGGAGCAAACAGG